rnacentral:rRNA from 1 species
AUUGAACGCUGGCGGCAGGCCUAACACAUGCAAGUCGAGCGAGCGGCUGACGGGUUAGUAAUUUCUGGGAAACUGCCUGAUAGCGGUGGAUAACUACUGGAAACGGUAGCUAAUACCGCAUACCAUCAGAUGUGCCCAGAUGGGCUUAGCUAGUAGGUGGGGUAACGGCUCACCUAGGCGACGAUCCCUAGCGGGUCUGACAGGAUGACCAGCCACACUGGAACUGAGACACGGUCAAGACUCCUACGGGAGGAAGCAGUGGGGAAUAUUGCACAAUGGGCGAAAGCCUGAUGCAGCCAUGCCGCGUGUGUGAAGAAGGCCUUCGGGUUGUAAAGCACUUUCAGCGGGGAGGCGUUACCCGCAGAAGAAGCACCGGCUAACUCCGUGCCAGCAGCCGCGGUAAUUC